GACGAACGCUGGCGGCGUGCUUAACACAUGCAAGUCGAGCGGAAAGGCCACUUCGGUGGUACUCGAGCGGCGAACGGGUGAGUAACACGUGAGUAAUCUGCCCUUGGCUUUGGGAUAGCCACCGGCAACGGUGAUUAAUACCGCAUACGACCACCCCAGGCCUCUGAUGGUGGGGGAAGGUUCGGGGGGUGAUGCAUGAGCUCGCGGCCGAUCAGCCUGUUGGUGGGGUAACGGCCUACCCAGGCUUCGACGGGUAGCCGGCCGGGGAGGGUGACAGGCCACACUGGGACUGAGACGCGGCCCAGACUCCUACGGGAGGCAGCAGUGGGAAAUAUUGGACAAUGGGCGAAGGCCUGAUCCAGCAACGCCGCGUGAGGGAUGACGGCCUUCGGGUUGUAAACCUCUUUCAGCGCCGACGAAGCGAAAGUGACGGUAGGCGCAGAAGAAGCACCGGCCAACUACGUGCCAGCAGCCGCUGUAAAAC
rnacentral:rRNA from 1 species